AAUGCUAGGGGAGCUUUGGCUGAGAGGAGCCGCAUGGGCGGCCAUACCCUCAAGACCUGAUCCGGAUAAUGCCGGCGCAGGCAAGCAAUU
rnacentral:ncRNA from 1 species